rnacentral:lncRNA from 1 species
UAUAAUCACUCCUCAAGGGGUUAUGAUCCAUUGAGUAAUCGAAUGAUAACUUCAUUACAGGGAAACAUCUAUACAUAUUGUCUCAACAAAUGCAAAUUAAACAGCAAAGGCUAGACAAGACUGCUAUAUGUCAAAUUUUGUAGGGUAAAUAUCCUGAAAAAGGAAAAGCUGCUAGUAUUUUUACUUAUGUUAACUAUUAUAUAUUCGACAUCUUGUAUAUACCAAUGCAAAUAGGAUCAAGUGCCUUAACGAAGAUAUCAAUCUAGGUUCAUGAGACCCUCGUACUCUUUGUAACAAGAACAAGGUGGCCAAAAUUUCUCCUCCAUAUGGCCUCAUUGCUCUUUGAGACUCAAAUGUAUCAAGCUCCCACUCUAAAAACUUAUUUUUGUGUUUUGCAGGCUUAAGGGAAGCAGCUGUCAGACACCGGAUGAGAAGAAAGUCCCCUGUCAUCCUAUCCUAAAUAAAUAUGGUUGAUAACGUGCCACAACUUGUUAUAGUGCCUUGAUACAAAUCUUACACCUAUAUGGUGUCUUGUACUAAGAAUGCUAAUAAAAAAAUUUGCUUCUGAAAUCUCUCUUUCUUCCUUUGCUUCAUGUCACUUGAUCCUUAAUUUAAUUAGCUAAAAAAGCGAUCUCGUUCAAACAAUUAUUGAGCUGUAAUUGACAUUGUAUAACUAAAAGCACCACUGAUAAAGAAAUUGGCAAACAAAUUGCGAGGGAUGCUGACAAAUUAAACCCAUUUGAUUGACACCAGGAAGCAUUUUUAUGUAGCUUCAGUUGAAUGCAUCAACAUCGUUCAGAUGGAUUCACAUAUCCAUCUAACAAAGUAAUUUACCUGGAGCCUCCUACUAGUCGCAUUAGAGCAAGAAAGAGAGAUAUAGCAGAUAUCACAUCGUUGAUGCACUCAAUUGCAUGAUCAUGAUCUUAAACCACAUCCAGCAACUGGGGUAAAGUAGACUAGAACAUGCAUUUGUUCACACGCCUUCUUUUAGCUGAAAGAAUUUCUUCAUCGCCCUAACAUCACCUUCUAAAGGUCGCGUCUCCUAAAUAUCACACAAUGUAGGAUUCUGCAGAAGCCUGCAUGACAUAAAGAAAAUAGAAAGAAAAAAGCUGAAGUUCAUCCGCUUGAUGAACCACCCCAGAAGCCGUACGUUGAAGUCACUGGACGGAAUAAUAGUUCCUUAUCUAGACAGAUAUUUUUUAACUCAGAUUUGUCCUCAAUGAUGAAAGAAGUACUUGAAUAAGCGACAAACCUAGGAAGUAAGGUUGGACAACGGUCGUUUCAAGGAUGGGCAAGAAUACUUUUAGGGCCUCUUAAACUGUUACUAGUUCACUUGCCCAAAAAGAGUUCGAUCAGCUUAAACCAAGGCAAAUGCCCAACCCAACCAUCUCACCUCAUUAAGAGAUCAGAAACUUUGGCCUCACUAAAUAAAAAGAACGAACUUAGGUUUUAACAUUUGAGGAGAAUGGCUAACCAAAAGGGAUGUGGAAGCUAGCAACUAUUAGUUUCUGAAGCUCACUUUCUCAGUUUUUUCCACCUUAAAAAGUGAAUAUCGAACUGCCCAUCGCCCUUAACCCCACUUGUAGCCAAAAUUUUGUAGUUUCUGGUGCAUGACCUCGAUUCUCAGGGCAACUUUUGAGCACGAGCGAUUGAAGUGCAGUGUACUAAGUUAAUAGAGAUGACUAAGGCAUUACAUUAAGGCUGUGUUUGGUGACACUCCUAGGAAUAGGCAUUUCUAUUUUUUUGUUUUCGUGAGCAGAAAUAAAACAAAAACGCAUUUAGUAAGUUUUUUGUUCUUAAUGACAGAUUUGGAACAUAAAUAAGAAAUAAAAAAAAGUUACUCUUUGUUCCUGGGAACAACUCCAAAAACAAAAAUCAAGCUUUUUUUCCUUUCUCUUCUUUUUUUUUUUUCUCUUCCUCUAUUAUUCCCCUAACUGAUCACCAGCCUUGGCGUCAGAAUCUCGCUGGCCUCGAGCGAGGUUGCCUUGAGCUCACCAGCCAUCGGCAAGGCUCCCUCGAGGCCAACGACCUCACUAGCCCUUGUUUAGCCGGUGGUCGAUUGGCGAUCGGUAGGAGAAAUGAGAAGAAAAAGAUUAAAAAAAAAGAAAAAAGAAAAUUGUAAUAAAAUUAUUAAUAAAUUAAAAGAAAUUAUAAGUCACAAAUAUUUAUGAGCUCAUACCAAACACGUUUUCCUUUCGGAAAUAGAAAUUUUGUGUAGUUACCAAAUGUGUUCAAAUGUUCAGAAACUGCUCUUGAGAAAAAAAAAUAGAAAAAAGUAUUUCUAAAUAAAAAAUAUUCUCUUAAACAAAAACUUUACCGACCGAUGCACGCUAAGUAAACAUUAGGUAUCCUGGUUAUUGUCAUCCCCAUGUAAUCAAACCAAAAAAAAAGUAAAAGGAAAAAGGUACUAGACCAAGAAAUUUAAGGUAUCAUCAUUGAGUGACCAAAACACAGCUCAGAACAAAACGAAAACCGAAAACCAAAUGAGGCCGGGACGGAUCUGGUUCGGGCAUUAUGUCGAACAUCUAGUGGUUGUCGACCGAGUGGGGGCGUCUGAAGACAUCCAAGACAAAAACUCAAGCCAAAAUCAUCAUACAGCAAACAAAAAAUGCUCAAGGUUGACUCAGAAACGAUUCCUUCACGUUAAACACAAGCAUAAACGAGGAACAAGGAGUCCCCCCCUCGGUUGAAGCGAGACAGGACAAAACAGAGCAUCAAACGGGGAAGUGGGCAACGCAAGCUGGGUUGCCGGAGGUGGCCCUAGUCGCGUUGGUGGCGGCGAAUGGAAGGCGAACCUGAUCCGAUGGACUCAUUCCGGUCGCCUUGCAUGCCUCCCAGCCAGGAUCCUGGGGGAGUAGGGUUAAAUUAAACAAACGGAAAAAGAACUUACCGGCAGAAGGUGAUGUCGGAAAGGGGAGAGCGCGAGCCCGACGACGUCGGCCUGGGCUCCAGUUUGGUUCUCACGCACCUCUCCGUUAUUUCCACUCGUGGUCUUUGUUCUCUCCUCCCUCCCCCGCCAUUUCCUCGGCCACCUCUCUCCCUUCUAAACCUGCCGCAGGUCUCCGCUUUUGGGCAUCCCUCCAAAGUGACACCGGAUGGUCGGCGAAGCCAGCUACCUUUCCCCUCAAUCUCUAUAGCUCAGGACCGCCGCUCAUCAGUCCUCUCUGUGGCUGUGUCAACACCUGCAACGAUUUUGGUUUUUUGGGCAAGUUGGUUACAUUUUCUGCUAAGGGCGCGUGCGUGGUAAGGUUUCUGUUUAAAAAUUGUUCCAAGGAACCGAAAUAAAAAAAAAAAUGUUUUUGUUCCGGAGAAUAAUUUUUGAAUAAAAAAAUCUAUUUUGUAAACUUGUUUCGGGAAUAAAAAUUGAAUAGAAACAUGUUGGGUAAUUUUGUGUUCUUUUUUUUGUUUCUUUUUUUUUUCUUCUUUUGGCUGGCAGCCUCGCCCAACCAUGGCAAGGCUCGCCGGCCCCCGGCAAGGAUGAGCCUCACCGUGGUUGGGUGAGGCUCGACCUCACCUUGGUUGGGUGAGCUCGAGCUCGCCCAGAUCCGGCGAGCCCGAGCUCACCCAGCCUUGCCCCGCGUCGGUGAGGCUUGGCCUCGCCUUGGCUGGGCGAGCUUACGAACCCAAGCUUGCCCAGUCAAGGCGAGGCCAAGCCUCGCUAGGGGCUGGCGACGCUUCGGCGAGGUCGCCGGCCCUCGAUGGCUGCUCGCCAGCCAUGGCCAAGGCCAGUGACAGGCCAAAGAAAAAAAAAAAGAAAAGAAGAAAAAAAAGAGAAGAGAGAAACUUUGUUCUUAAAAAUUGUUCCAGAAACAAGAAACACGUUCUUUCUUGUUUCUUGUUUUUGUUCCAAAUGUGUUCCUAGGAACAAAAAAAUAGAUUUGGAAUAAAAACACAAACAAACGCAUUUUUGUUCUUUUUUUAUUCCCUGGAACAAAAAAACGAAAAUUUUGUUCAUAAAUAGAAAUAAAGAACAUUAACAAAUAGGGCCUAAGACGGCAGCAGGCUAUCCUGGGCUCUGUCCACCAUAGGCGCCGCCACCACCCAAACAUGGGGAGGGGGUUGGGCCGAGAAGAAGGACAGAAAAAAGAAAGGGCCGGGCAGUCAAGAAAAAAAGUAAAGCAAGUGAAAGGGCCCGGCCCAAGUGGCGAGGAAGGAGGGGCCAGGCCCUCCCCCCCUUUUUAAAAUAAUAAUUUUUAAUACUUAAAAAAAAAACUAUGUUCUAAUAAAUUAUAUUAUGCAAAUGCACCUAGUGUUUACAUGCUAUGCAAUUUAAUUGUACUAUUUUCUUUUUUUCAAGGGUUAAAAUUAACCCAUAGUUUUCUAUACAAUUUAUCAAUAAAUGUUUAGCCAAAAAUUUAGGUGUUGACACUACGAGUAGGAGGUAGGGAUUGAACUGAAGGUUUUGGUCUUAAGAAUGAUGAUCACUCUUACUCCUUGAAAAAAAAAUCAAUUGCAGUAGAACUGUUGUAAUAAAUAGUUAAUCCCCUUCUUGUUAGUUUUUGGCCCAACAGAAUGAAGAUCUUCGCAUCGUCUGAUCUUAAAGUUGUCCAUUCAUUAGUAUUCUUAAACUCUUGUCUCCAGCUUACUUUUCAGCAGAGACUGCAAAAGCUAUAUUACGUGCAAUCCAGGAAGACGAUAAAUGCUACUAAUGCUUCAGACUCAUCGAAGGAGGGUCGAGAAUUCUCUUCACCUCUUUCGGAGGAAUCGUAAAAUCAAAGCAGUUAACCGAUACUCGAUGAAGAUGCAAGAGUUCGGCAAUGGGGUAUUGUUUAAAAUUAUAGUUUAACAAGUUUUUGUUGCCAUAAUACUAUCUUAUUAUAAAGGAGAAAGUUCUAAGAAAUCAAGCUUAAGGAGACCAAAUGAAGAGGACGCAUUAGAAAGCAAUGUAUUGCAGGGCAAUAUAAAGCUCACCAUCAAGUGAGAGCGGAAAGAAGACAAACAUUUUGGAGGAUAUCCCAAGCAAGCUAUUGUUUCUAAUAAAAAUCCUAGAAUCCUAGAUCUGUAUCUCAGUUGUGGAAGAGUUUACAAAAAGCUUUGAGUAUUAAACUCAACUUUAGUACAGCCUUUCACCCCGUAGAUAAAUGGACAAUCAGAGAGAAUUAUCUCGAUGCUAGAGGAUAUGUUGAGGUCCUGCGCAAUUGACUUUGGCUGUUUGUGGGACGAAGAUCUCCUAUGAUAGUAGCUAUCAUUCUAGUAUUAAGAUAGCGUCAUUUGAAGUUCUGUGUGGUCGGAAAUGCAUAACUCUUAUCUAUUGAUAUGAUGUUAGAGAAAAAAGCCUAACCAACCUAGAAUUCAUUCAACAGUGAGGAGAAAAUCAGGUUGGAUCAAGAACAUUUCAAAAUAGCUCAAAGUCAUUAAAAAAGUUACUUAGAUCUUAAAAACUGCAAGGUAGAAUUCAGCAUGGAAGAUCAUGGAUUCUGCAAAGUUUCUUCUAUGAAAGGCAUUAGGAGAUUUAGCAUGCGUGGGAAUUUGAGUACAAGAUACGUAAGACCAUUCUUGAUCUUAGAUAGGAUUGAUGAAAUCACUUACAAACUAACUUUACCAUCAGCACUAUACAAAGUGCAUAAUGUGUUCCAUGUCUUUUUGUUACCGGAUUGUGUCAAAUCCUAAACAUAUAUUAGAUUUUACGCUUUUAAGGUUAACAAAGAACUUGACCAUAAGCACUAUAUAGCAUGCAUAAUAUGUUCCAUGUCUUUUUGUUACGGAAUUGUGUCAAAUCUUAAACACAUAUUUUGAUGGUAUGUUGUUGGAGGACGGCCAUGUCAUUUUCCUUAUUGGUUUCAGGGUGUGACUUUUCAGAUUGGGUUUUGAUGAUGACUCACCUUCGAAAUAAAUCAAUUAGAUGGAGAAGGACGGGCUAGUGCCCACUUGGAAACCAUUUUCCACCGUAUUCAUUGGAAUUUUUUCAAUGGUCCGUUGAGAAUAAAGUUUGGAAUUUUAUGUAAUGGAGACAGAAUAGAUGCUAUAUUGUCCCAUCCUGCAAAAGCAAAAUCAAAGAGUAAUGCACCAGAAGCGAGAGAACCCCACUCAGCCCCAUGCCUAUAAAUUGCUAUUCAAGACUGCCUCAUAGUGCCAAGCAAGAACUCAAAACAGCCUGAGAGAACUACACAAAAAGCCCUCACCCUCUUGCUUCAGUUUCCAUGGCCUCCGUCCACUGCUUCAAGGAUGCCGAGAAAACCUACUACCAACAGAGCCAAAACGGCCAUCCCAUGGAACACAAAAUGAGCCACAGCCAGACCCAGUGCUAUGGCCAGAGUGAGAAACACCUUCCAUCGGGCCAUGGCCACAUGGCUAAAGCUCAUGGUCACCACAGUGAGCAUGCCAUGGCCAAAACCCAGACUCCCUGCAUGGGCCAGAACAAUGGCCAUUACCUUGGCCAACAUGCCCAGACUCACUGCAUUACUCAAGCUCAUGGCCACAAGAAAGAGAAAUCUGCUUGCCAUGGGAAGUCUAAGAAGAAGGAGGAGCACAAGAAGAAAGAGAAGAACAUGCUCAAGAAGAAAUCCAAGGAAUGCAAAUCUGGUGAUAGCAGCAGCAGCAGCAGCGAGAGCGAGAGCGAUCAUGACCACUGCUGAAAGGUGAAGAUAUAGAAGGUAGACAACCAGGAGGUAGCUAACUAUUUCACAUAACUUAAGGAUUAACAAAUAUGGUUAUAAUGACUAUAAUCACUCCUCAAGGGGUUAUGAUCCAUUAAGCAAUCAAAUGAUAACUUCGUUACAGGGAAACAUCUAUACAUAUUGUCUCAAAAAAUGCUAAAUUAAACAGCGAAGGCUAGACAAGACUCCAAUAUGUCAAAUUUUGUAGGGUAAAUAUCCUUAAAAAGGAAAAGCUGCUAGUAUUUUUACUUAUGUUAACUAAUAUAUUUAUAUUUGACAUCUUGUAUAUACCAAUGCAAAUAGGAUCAAGUGCCUUAACGAAGAACAAGGUGGCCAAAAUUUCUCCUCCAUAUGGCCUCAUUGCUCUCUGAGACUCAAAUGUAUCAAGCUCCCACUCUAAAAACUUAUUUUUGUGUUUUGCAGGCUUAAGGGAAGUAGCUGUCAGAGACCGGAUCAGAAGAAAUUCCCCUGUCAUCCUAACCUAAAUAAAUAUGGUUGAUAACAUGCCACGACUUGUUAUAGUGCCUUGAUACAAAUCUUACACCUAUAUGGUGUCUUGUACUAUGAAUGCCAAUGA